UACGCAGGAGAGAUGAUGCUGGAUAAUGGAGCAUCCCUACUUAGCUAUCUCAAGAGAUUGGAGGGGGCUUUGAUUGUUUAGCCAGCAUCAUACUCCUGCAUAUU
ncrna:Nicotiana tabacum cultivar TN90 Ntab-TN90_scaffold2128, whole genome shotgun sequence